rnacentral:tRNA from 1 species
GCCCUCAUAGUUCAAUGGAUAGAAUAAGUCCCUCCUAAGGAUUAGAUGUGGGUUCGAUUCCCGCUGAGGGUACCA